GACGAACGCUGGCGGCGUGCCUAAUACAUGCAAGUCGAGCGAAUCUCAGGGAGCUUGCUCCCUGAGAUUAGCGGCGGACGGGUGAGUAACACGUGGGUAACCUGCCUGUAAGACUGGGAUAACUUCGGGAAACCGGAGCUAAUACCGGAUACUUUCUUUUCUCGCAUGAGGGAAGAUGGAAAGAUGGUUCUGCUCUCACUUACAGAUGGACCCGCGGCGCAUUAGCUCGUUGGUGAGGUAACGGCUCACCAAGGCAACGAUGCGUAGCCGACCUGAGAGGGUGAUCGGCCACACUGGGACUGAGACACGGCCCAGACUCCUACGGGAGGCAGCAGUAGGGAAUCUUCCGCAAUGGACGAAAGUCUGACGGAGCAACGCCGCGUGAGCGAAGAAGGCCUUCGGGUCGUAAAGCUCUGUUGUUAGGGAAGAACAAGUACGAGAGUAACUGCUCGUACCUUGACGGUACCUAACCAGAAAGCCACGGCUAACUACGUGCCAGCAGCCGCAGUAAAAC
rnacentral:rRNA from 1 species